GGGCGGGGCAGAGAGGAGCGGGGCUGCGGGCGGCCCGUACCCGGACAGGAUUUCCCUGGCGGAGGAAGGAAAGGCUGCUUCUCUGCCGUUUACGCUGUGUCAUAAGACAAAUGGCACUGCUGUUAACUGGAAAAUCUGGUCUAGCAUACAUGAUGUGCAUUUAGAGUGAUAGUUCUGUACCUUGAUCUACACUUAAUGGUACUCUGGAUGGAGCAUCUGGUAGAACAAGUCUUCCUUAGGACAUAUGAAGAAACUACAUGCUCUGAUGCCAGACAAACUCCUGCAUGCUUUACCAUGGGCACCUGAUGAGGGAAGUGCUUUCCUGUUGCUCCUGUUUCACAGCUGAUAAAUUCUGCUUGAUGCAGGUGGUAAUGAGUUGUAUAUUUUUAAGUUUUAUCAGCGUUCUCAUCUGUUGGAAUUUCAUGUUCAGAUCUGUGGGAACUGUUUGUAAGUUGGUUUAGGGUUUCUUAGUGCUUCCUAGUUGAUUUUUUAAAAUAGCUAUAAUAUUAAACUAGAUAACCUGAUUAAUCUGUCAGAAUUUGAAAUGUGUUCUAAAAGUUAUAAGACAUUUCUGUUGCCAUUUGUUCCUUUAAAUGUUCUGCAAUUAAUGAUAGAUGGCUUUAUUUUAAUGUGCCAAGAAAUACCAAUGCAGAAAUAGCUACUGGAAUUUGAUUGCUCAGUCACCCACAAAUUUAUCAAAUAGGCUAAAGCAGUUGAGUUUGAUCCCAAAUACCCUAAGUCUUCAUGUAUGAGGGUAUUCAUAUAUGAUGGGACUGAUUAUGGUAAUGUUUAGCAGAUUUUGAUAGUCCAUCUUCACAUGUUUUUUAGAAGGAAAUACAUGUUGUCCAUACUAUAUUAGGGUAUUACAGGGUAAUUGUAAAUACUUUUAAUAUUUUUCAUGCAAAUUCUUUGGCUCCAAGAUUACAAAUAACAGGGACCAAGUUAAGGCUCUUUAUGUUUUUUAAAAGUCUAACAGAUAAAAGCAAAGCAUGGGAACAAACUGAAGUAGUUAUCACAGUUAUUUAAAACCCCAGAGCAGAACUGUUGCCUGAGAUUAGGUCUCAUACCAGAAUAGCCAAACAGAGGAAGCUGUAUCUUCUGCUGCAGUUGCAGAGAGGUCACUCGUGUGCCUGGGAUAAAGGUCCUGUCCUCUCCAGGACACCCAGCUGUCCUGUGAGCCCUCGGUAGCUCUGGGAUGUUCUGAACACAGUGGGUUUGUUGCGUGAGCUCAGAUUGACCCUGGAGAGCUCAGGCCUCAGUUCUGCUGUGCGAGGGCUGUGCUGGAUUGAUGUGUGUCCUGUGCAGCUCACCUGCUUGUGCUCCACGUGUCUGAUGCACCUCGUGACUAACAGGUUAUUAUCAGUAAUAGCUGAUUUUAAAAAGUUAUUUGGAAAUUGAGGCAAUUUGUAAAACCCUUCAGUCUUGCCCUUACAUUCUUUCACAGUAUGCAGGAUCCAGGGAACAAACCAUUCCAAAAUAUUUUUGAACAGCUGCAAGAAGAAUUUAACUUUGUUACUGAAAAAGAUAUUAAAAAGUGUAAAUGCUUCCAGCUGUUGCAGUAGUAAAAGUUCUGUUUAUAGGGAGAUAAAACAUACAGUAUUUCAGGAAUUUGGUGUUUGAGAUACAGUUUUUGUUUUAAACUUGUACCUGAUAAGUUGUGUUACAUUUAAUCUCUGAUUUUUUUAUAUUUUGUGAAUCAAUAUUUCCUGUUCUUUUAUAUGUUUAUGUAGCAGAGAAUUUUGUUCAUUAUCAAUCUAAAUGCCAAGUUAGAUCUAUCUAUACUUUCAACACAUUUGGAUUUACUGUAAUUAGAAUCAUAUUAGAUAUAUUAGCUAACAGUACAAAUUAAAAAUCCAGUAAGAAUUUUAUUAUAGCUUGCAAAAUUUUACUUACAGGUGUUAGAUACAUAUUGAGAUGCUAUGGUCCUCUGAACAAAAUUCACAAUUUUUCUCUCAAAUGUUUGCAAAGUGAAGCUCUGGGUAAAAACUUUUAAAUGUAGUUAAAACCCAACAUUUUAAUUUGAUACUUCAUCUAGCAUGCUGAUUUUUGUAGACUGCAGUCCUUCACAUUCUUGAUAUAUGGGAUUGUAUAUUCUAUGAAACUUUGUGAACCCUCACACUGAGCUGCCACAAUUUAUCAUGAGAUGGAGCUCUGAGGCAGAGCAAGAGUCAGCAAAGGCAGUGGCACUACAGCACUAUGGGCAUUAUCCCUUUCUAAUAUUUCUAGUUUGGGAAAAAUUCUGCCUUCUCUACAGUGUGAACUCUUCAGCUACAUUUACAAAUUUCCAAAAGAACCUGACAUCCUGUGAAAUACUUUUGCAGUUGAAAUGCUGGAAAUUUUUUUUCAAAAAGCUGACUGGUAUGAACUUCUGUCUUUUCCUUCAUUCAAAGUCUUAUAGCUCCUCCUUCAAUUAGUUGUUUCAAAAAUUGGAUAUCAUGAGGAAAUAUCUAUCACACCCUUACAAGAGUUGUCCUAAUACUUAGAUAUCACAAUGCUUUAUUUCUGUCACGUACUCCAGUUUAAAUUUAUCACGAAUCAGCUUCCUGGACUCUUCUGUGGUGUGCCCAUAUCUGCUAGUUCAGGAUCCCAUACGAGAUAUGUUCUUCUUGUGCAGAGCUGAUAGGCUGUUGGUGGCAUUCUGUGUUUAAAUUAAAUUGACUUUCUUCACUCUGUCUCUAGAAUGCAAGUUUUCUUGUAAAUGUUUCUUGCAACUCUUUCUGAAGCUUUCCCAUUCAUUGAACUAAUAAAUUAGGGAUUUUUUUGUUAUAAAUAUUUUCAUAGUGCUCAGUCUUUAUGGCAGGAUUAGCUAUGAAAUUAAGGUGUUUUUAACUCGUUUCAUGCAAAGGAUGGGUAUAUUCUGGGAGUUACUAGUUUUUGAGGUCCAUUUUUAUAGAGAUUUUUUAUAGUUUCCUGCCAAUGUUUACGCUUUUCUUGAUAGUUGCAGAUGAGGCAGAAAAAACAGGGUGGGUUCCCAUACAGAGAACAUAAAUGGAAAUAAAAACUGUGAUGAUUGAUACAAACAACUGACACAUAGACUGAUAGUUUGAGGUAUCUACUACCUCAAUUCUCAAACCCUUUGUAGCAUGGCGACCUUGAAAAAGAUCCCUUCCUGACUAAUUAUGCAGUUGUUAUAUUUAUAGGUAUUAUAAAAUUAUUUUACAUCUUUCUUGUAAACAGGUGUGUCCACAUGAGUGCUGUCAGUAGCAGCCAUACUGGGCAGGGCUGUUCAUCACAUGCUUAUUUGAAUAGGUGUAAAUUAAAAAAUUCUAGUAAUUCCAAAGAAAUUUAUAGUUGCAUGAGCAGAUGGCAGAAACAGCGGAGUUACCUAUUCAUUUAUAGAACAUCUUCUGAAUAAACUGCCAGGUAAAAAGGGAGUUGGAAGGCAUCAGUAGGUGGCAGAAAAAUACUGGUAUUGUAGCUUUACCUGUGUAACCAGAAGCUGACAUCUCUGCCUUUAUAAUAUUUUAAAGUUCUAAUUUUUCUCUGUGCUGAGCUCCAGAUCCCUUUACAAGACUUCUGUUUCCAUGUUUUCAGUUAUGACAACCUAGUGCUGUAUUACUGUUCUUCAAAUAGUUCAAAUCUGUCAUCAGAGAGAACUUUCCAGAUGCUUUGAUGUGAAGCAGACAGCUUGUCUUUCCAUGAGCAGGGAAGUUUGAGGGGUGGUGAAAUGAGAAAGUGUUCACAGCUGGGAACACUGGAACUGAUACUGAAAUUGCUCUAGGAUACUGCAACUAUAUAGUAUAUAUACUAUAUGGAAUAGUUACUUUGCUCUUCUGUGGUUUUGAUUUUUUUUUUCAAACUGAUAUUUUCAAUAUCAGUUUGAAAAGGUGAACUCUGAGCUUAGGACUCUUGAGUCUUUGAUCUGCACAGCAUCAUAUUUUAUCCAGCAGUGCUUACUUCAAAGUACAAUAAUAUAUGAAAAUCAUGUCUGACUUGUGUGGGCUUUGGAAAUUAUAUGACUGCAUCAACUCUAUGCUCCAUCUUAAGCUAAGAAAACUGGCUAGAUCCAAGCUAGCAUAUGAGCAACCAGUUCUGGUAUCUAUACCAGCAGCACUGUUGUUUCUUGUUCAAUCUGCCAACAAAUAGUUUUAGCUUUGUGUUCAGUUAUAUCAUCUUUGCUUUUGAUAGGAUGUGUUUCACAUUGGCCACUCAUAUGAGAAAGAACUGGCUUGGAUCAGUUAUCACUCUGUUCUCAGCUCCUCUGGAGCAAUUAAAGUCAUGCAAAAUGAAAUAUAAAAUAUUUCUGUGGUAUUUGCAAAACUCUGUAGGAGCUUUUGUUGUUACAAAAGUAAGGUGAUAAGGUUUUCAGAGUGAUGACAUUCUGCAGAGUCCAGUAGUACAUAUUCUAACAACAGCUCCAGUGUAUUAUCAUUUGUGAGAGCUCUUGGUGUCUCUGUGUGUCUUGGAGCUGAUAUGAAGACAGCUCCCUGCUUUUGUUGCAUGACUCCAAAAAAGGCUUUUCUCAAAACCUUUUUAAGAAGCACUUCUUUGUCCGAUUUGUGACUACAGUGAAAGGUGCUGGCAUAUUUCCCUCAGGGUGAGGAGAGCAUGGAGGCCUCAAGGAGGAACUGAAAUUAAGUUUGUCUGAGCAACACAAGGAGUUCCAAGAAGAAUAGAAAGUUCAGUCACAAUAUUUGGAUUCUAGUCUAUUCAAGCUCCAGACUCUGUGUUCAGCCAUAGCUGAUGACUAUCUUGAGCAUAUACACCGUAGAAAGUUGGAAGAAAAAAUUGACUUAAGGGGUAUUUAGAAUAUGGCUAUGUGCAAUAAAAUGUUUGAAUAGGCUGUUUCAGAGUCCUUUUAUUGAAACAAAUUUUAAAUAACUUUUAACUUUUUCAACUUGAAUGGGGUCAUGAAAAGUGAAUAGCAGAAUACUAGAUGUCUUAACAUGGUAGAAUAGAACUAUGGAAUCAUGUAGGUUGGAGAAGACUGCCAAGUCCAUUUAAUUUUACAAGUUCCUUAGAUUGUCAGUGUUUUAAGUGCGUUAUUCCAAGGUAUGUAUUCGACUCUGAGACUAGAAGAGGGUUUCCCAUGAUAAUUUUCAGGACAUAGCCUCCUGGGAAAAGUCCACUACUGUUCUUCAUGUCAAGUGUUGGUGUCCUUUUACAGAACUUAGCAAGUAGAAUCCUUUGAGGAAGAUAUGAAUAAUUAAUUGUAGUGGAUUUCAUGUGACUAUACCACAGGUUUUACUUGGAUGCACCUUGAAAUAGACAUUUAUUUCCUAAUGCCUUGGAGCACAUAAUAUUUACCUACAUAAUUUUCUUCUGUAGUCAGGCUUUGAAGUUACAAA